UACUCCUACGGGAGGCAGCAGUGGGGAAUAUUGGACAAUGGGCGCAAGCCUGAUCCAGCCAUACCGCGUAGGUGAAGAAGGCCUUCGGGUUGUAAAGCCCUUUUGUUGGGAAAGAAAAGCAGUCGGUUAAUACCCGAUUGUUCUGACGGUACCCAAAGAAUAAGCACCGGCUAACUUCGUGCCAGCAGCCGCGGUAAUA
rnacentral:rRNA from 1 species